GGCCUUGUAGCUCAGGGGUUAGAGCACUUGUCUUGUAAAUUAGGGUCAUGAUUUCAAAUCUCAUCAAGGCCU